rnacentral:rRNA from 1 species
CUUAACACAUGCAAGUCGAGAUGGCUCCUUCGGGAGUGGAUUAGCGGCGGACGGGUGAGUAACACGUGGGUAACCUACCUCAAAGAGGGGGAUAGCCUCCCGAAAGGGAGAUUAAUACCGCAUAAUAAUCAGUUUUCACAUGGAGACUGAUUUAAAGGAGUAAUCCGCUUUGAGAUGGACCCGCGGCGCAUUAGCUAGUUGGUAGGGUAACGGCCUACCAAGGCGACGAUGCGUAGCCGACCUGAGAGGGUGAUCGGCCACAGGAACUGAGAGACGGUCCAGACUCCUACGGGAGGCAGCAGUGGGGAAUAUUGCACAAUGGGCGAAAGCCUGAUGCAGCAACGCCGCGUGAGUGAAGAAGGUUUUCGGAUUGUAAAGCUCUGUCUUUGGGGACGAUAAUGACGGUACCCAAGGAGGAAGCCACGGCUAACUACGUGCCAGCAGCCGCGGUAAUACGUAGGUGGCGAGCGUUGUCCGG